CCCGAGGUAUCCUUCAGGCCUUUGGUACGCGGACGGAGUACGAGGAUUCCUACGGAUCGUCGCAAGCGUCGGCGUCGGUUCCUUGUGGUCCCGCAUGGCAGCAGCCUCCCUUAUACCACCGACAGUACGAAGGGUACGGGUACCCCGGUUCUCAGCCCUAUGGAGGGCCAGGUGCCUCGCAAGGGGCUCCAUUUCAAGGAACCCAGUUUACCUCUAUGCCACAUGCUGGAGGGACUUUAGGAUCACAACAGUUCACCAGAGCGGGGCCGUCUUCGUAUCACCCUAUGCCGUCACCAGGAGGAU